CAGUAGCCGCGGUAAUACGAAGGGGGCUAGCGUUGCUCGGAAUGACUGGGCGUAAAGGGCGCGUAGGCGGUUUUGACAGUCAGAUGUGAAAUUCCUGGGCUUAACCUGGGGGCUGCAUUUGAGACGUCAAGACUAGAGUGUGAGAGAGGGUUGUGGAAUUCCCAGUGUAGAGGUGAAAUUCGUAGAUAUUGGGAAGAACACCGGUGGCGAAGGCGGCAACCUGGCUCAUUACUGACGCUGAGGCGCGAAAGCGUGGGGAGCAAACAGGAUUAGAUACCCGCGUAGUCCCUGUCUCUUAUAC
rnacentral:rRNA from 1 species